rnacentral:rRNA from 1 species
UACGUAGGGUGCAAGCGUUGUCCGGAAUCAUUGGGCGUAAAGCGCGCGUAGGUGGCUUCGUAAGUCCGUUGUGAAAGUCAAGGGCUCAACCCUUGAAUGCCGGUGGAUACUGCAGGGCUAGAGUCCGGAAGAGGCGAGUGGAAUUCCUGGUGUAGCGGUGAAAUGCGCAGAUAUCAGGAGGAACACCGAUGGCGAAGGCAGCUCGCUGGGACGGUACUGACGCUGAGGCGCGAAAGCGUGGGGAGCAAACAGG